UGGGGAAUAUUGCACAAUGGGCGCAAGCCUGAUGCAGCCAUGCCGCGUGUAUGAAGAAGGCCUUCGGGUUGUAAAGUACUUUCAGCGGGGCGGAAGGCGAUAAGGUUAAUAACCUUGUCGAUUGACGUUACCCGCAGAAGAAGCACCGGCUAACUCCGUGCCAGCAGCCGCGGUAAUACGGAGGGUGCAAGCGUUAAUCGGAAUUACUGGGCGUAAAGCGCACGCAGGCGGUCUGUCAAGUCGGAUGUGAAAUCCCCGGGCUCAACCUGGGAACUGCAUUCGAAACUGGCAGGCUAGAGUCUUGUAGAGGGGGGUAGAAUUCCAGGUGUAGCGGUGAAAUGCGUAGAGAUCUGGAGGAAU
rnacentral:rRNA from 1 species